rnacentral:tRNA from 1 species
UGGGGUGUCGUCUAAUCGGCAGGACGGCAGACUCUGGAUCUGCUUGUAGAGGUUCGAGUCCUCUCACCCCAGCCA